GAUACCAAAAAGUCUAGGGCAACAGACUGUGAAAGGUCAUAUGAUUGUGAGAGGUGAAGCCGGCUGGGAUUCUGGGUCAGGUGGUGACUUGGAGAACUUUUCUGUCUAGCUAAAGGAUUGUAAACACACCAAUCAGCACUCUGUGUCUAGCUAAAGGAUUGUAAAUGCACCAAUCAGCACUUGUAAAAAUGCGCCAAUCAGCACUCUGUGUCUAGCUAAAGGUUUGUAAAUGCGCUAAUCAGCACUCUGUAAAAACAGACCAAUCAGCACUCUGUAAAACAGACCAAUCAGCGCUCUGUAAAAUGGACCAAUCAGCAGGAUGUGGGUGGGGCCAAAUAAGGGAAUAAAAGCUGGCCACCCGGGCCAGCAGCAGCAACCUGCUCAGGUCCCCUUCCAUGGUGUGGAAGCUUUGUUCUUUCGCUGUUCACAAUGAAUCUUGCUGCUGCUCACUCUUUGGGUCCGCACUAGCUUUAUGAGCUGUAACGCUCACUGCGAAGGUCUGUGGCUUCACUCCUGAAGUCAGCAAGACCACGAACCCACCGGAAGGAGGAAACAACUCCGGAAGCACCACGUUUAAGAGCUGUAACACUCACUGCGAAAGUCUGCAGCUUCACUCCUGAAGUCAGCAAGACCACAAACCCACCGGAAGGAAGAAAUUCCAGACACAUCUAAACAUUGGAAGGAACAAACUCCAGACACACUAUCUUUAAGAACUGUAACACUCACCGCGAGGGUCUGUGGCUUCAUGCUUGAAGUCAGCCGGACCAAGAACCCACCGGAAAGAACCAAUUCCUGACACAAUCGUUCUUCAUGGUCUAUGACUCCAAGGUCUGAAAUGAUCUCAUUUACCCCACAUGAUAGAUGUGGCCCUUCCAGAUGAGGAGUUCAACAAGACUACAUGGUAGAGCAGCCAGAGAACCCACUGGAAAUAAGGCUCAAAAUAAGGAGUAACCACAAAAUAAGAGACAGAGAAUGCUGAUUCACUAUGCAGUGAAACAUGCCUAACGUGUCAACAGCUAAAUGCCCGGUGACAGUGUGGUUGUCUGGGCAACAGAAGAAGUCACCCACGCAAACACUUAAAGGACCAUACUUAUUUUACAAGAGGAACAGUUUUCAAUGGAAUGGAUAUUAAAACACACACCUGGAUCCCUUUACCACAGGUGCUUUGAGAGGCACCAUCAAGGACAGUGAGCUAACGCAGGAGAAUGGAGUCCCAGAAACCUAGGAGGAGAAGACAAAGUGUCAGCCUCUCGGCAUCUGCAGUGUUGCUAGGAAAAGAGCUCUGAUCCCAGGGGCUUACCCACUUCCACAGGUAGGAAGCGUCCCUGAGAGGACUGGAACAUUAGCAUAUCUCAGAUCCAUCUGCAAAACUUUUGCAAACACGGAACUCCCUCGUUCUAAUCUUAUCAGCAACUUCCAGAGCUGAACCUUGAUUAAUCUGGAUACAAAAAGGAUUGAAACGCCACAUAAUAAGCAUUAACAGGAGGGUGUUUCCUUUAUCAAUGAAGCUUGAUUUAUCCAUGAUGAUCUAGUGCAUUCUCCUCCCAAAAAUCAGGAUCAUCCUCUGCAUAUGAAGGAACAGACAAGCCCUCAGCUCUACCACUUUGGAGAGGGGGGGAUUGGACAGCAUGAGCCUUCAAUUGUAUCUCUUGGAUGACCAAGGAAGGCUGGAUUUCUGCACCUAAAAAAUGGAAGCACAAACUGUACAACAAAUACUCUCCAUUCAAGUUGAAGUUCUCAAAUAAGGUAUCCAAUUAACCAAUGUAUUAAUAACAUUGAAAAUAAUAAUCUCAUAGGAAGAUUCCAAAAAUUUCUGGUUUUAUAUCUAGCAAAAACUUCAUGCACUAUGUUUGAUUUGUAUGUAGAACUCAGGGUGAACAUGCCAGUGACAGUGGCAAUGAGAGGGGUAACUGGGGGCCAGAAGCAGGCUGAGGGAGAGGAGAGGAGGGGGCAGAGUGUGCUCAGGGAACCAUGAGCCAUGCAGGAUAAGCAAUAGGGCAGAAUAAACAGGACAUACCCAUCUGUUUAUUCUCUCUGUAUAAUGUUUUGAUUCUCUUUGUACCCUAACUAACCAAGGCACAGCUCAGGAAGUUGCUGCCAGGAUUAGAAAAAGGGAGUUGCACAUUCUCAAAAAGCAAUGGUACAGUGCAAAGAAUGGUAAUUAAUCCCCCAGCACACUUGACCCAGCCCCUAAAGAACUUUGUGACCUUGGGCCAGGCAGGCAGCUCCCAGGCUUCUGUUUUGUCAUUUUUGACCUCUUCUGGCUGCAGUGAUUCAUUUCCAGAUAUAGGUUGCUUCAGCUCAUCUCAAAGUCUUCUUGUAGCCUGUUCUUUGAGAAAUGGUAAUAUAUCUCUUGAAAAGUUUCUUUUUCUUGCAAAGUCACCCAAUUCAUGAGUUAAUGAGGUCCCACCAGUGAUACGAUUGCAGAGUCACAAAUAUCACUAACUGAAAGGAGUAGAAGGAAGGCGGGAAUUGCAGACACACCAUGAGUGGGUGGCCUCCAGGAGAUACACGUGAGACCAGCCCUGUGGUGGGCCAGGUCAGAAGGACUUCUGCUUAGACUAGGUGGAAACUUCUCAGCAUUCUGAGGAGUACCACCAUCUGACUGGCAGUUUGAAGGUAUCACUUGGGCUGCUGUAUCAAGAAUAGACUUCAGAAGACAAGUUGAACGUAGCAAGACCAGUGAGAAAGGUGUCAUAGCCGUCCAAGUGCAGGGUGGCAGUGGAGAUAGGAGUUAUAUUAAGGAGAGAGUCACCAGGAUUUGCUGAUGGGUUAGGUGUGGGCUGUGGAAGAAAGAUCAAAGUCAAGAAUGACUCCAAUGACAUUGUCCUAAGCAAUUGGAAUGAUGAAAUCACAGUUGUUGAGAUGGGGAACCUGCACAUGGAGUGAGUCUGGAGGAGAGAUUAGUUGUUUGGCUUUGGCCAUGCUGAGUUUCAGAUGUGUUUCGACACACAUGUGGAGGGGUUACGCUUGAAUGUCUGAGUCUGACUUUUGUAUUGAGAUGUUCCUAUCCUACUUCUUCCUACCUCCACCCUGCAAAGGAUGGCCAUGGUUAUCUUCAGUGCCCCCACAAAGCUCUGUGCAGAUUCCUGGUAUGUCACAUUUAUUUCAAAUGGCUUUACUGAGAUGUAAUUGAUAUAUAGUUCACCCAUUUAAAUUGGACAAUUGAAUGGUUUUUAGUAUAUUCACAGAGUUUUGAUCAUGUGUAACAUGGUCUAUUUUUAGAAUAUUUUUGUCACCCCUUCCCCUCUAAAAAACCUCAUAGCCAUUAGGAAACAUUCUCCAUUUCCUAGCAUGGUAUUUUAAAAUAGUGACAAUUCCUAUUUUCAAGUCUGUCAGUAAGCCUCUUAAUGGUAGGGACUUCCGUGUUAUUUGUUUUUGCAUUUCACCCUGUAACAAUUACUCAAAAAAGCUGUUGUAUGAAUGAACUACAGUUUGAAAAAUACGACCCCAAGACUGUGUGUCUUUAAGAGAGAACCAACCCUUUGCAUUCCGGUGCUCUUCGUAUGGCUGCCUGUAGCAUUUUUCAGAUCUAGUUGAGAAACCGAUGGGAGGAUAUGGAGAUAAGUCUCAUUACUCUUUUCUUUCUUGGCUAUACUUCUCUAGCAUCUGUUGUAAACAAAACAGAAAAGAGUCUUUCUAAACCUGGUGAAAAUAUCUCAAAUGCAAGGAAGCCAGUGAUGAAAAAUGCAAUAUCAAAGUUCGGGCUGUUACAAACACAUGGCAUAAAUCACAUCUGCUCAUUAAACUUAUUACAAAGAAUGAUAACAAAAGCAAAGAGAUGUCUGAAAAUGUCUUGGGAAAAAUAAAGUAGCUAAUAAAUUCGUGGUUUUACUGUUUUAUGUCAUAAGGAUGGAUAUAAUUUCAUUUGGGACAAAUGUUUCUGGACUCAGACUACAGACUACAGAUUUGGAGCUGAAGGCCACUACCAAGGCAAUCUCCUCUAACAUCUUCAUUUCAGAGCUGAUGAGCUAGAUAGUCAUGCCCUGUGACCUCUCAGCUGGUUAUGGCAGAGCUCGCCCAAGAGCAAGGGGCGUAAUAUAUUAAUUAGUUUAAACUGAUAUGCGUUAUGUACUAACAGGGUCUGGGCAGACCAGUAGCAUCUAAAUAUUAUUCUAAGAGUCAGAAGCUUUUUUUCCAAUAAAGCCUUAUGCUGAAAACAAUAAUUAUGGCAGAAUCCUUCUGAUGGAGCCUGGGGGGUGGACUGCUUUUUCCCUCUGCUGCUGCAGCCCUGACGUGGUUUAGUGUGUCCUGGGACUAUCCCUUUGACAUCCCUCCUCUGUAUUCUUCUGAAAUACAGGACCCAUCCACUGCAUAUAGUCACAAGUUUACUUGCUUCUCUUCCCUCCUAAACUGUGGAAUCUCUCAACAUAAUGAUUGUGUCUUACACAAAACUGCAUAUCUCAGUUUCUGAACUCAGGAAAUAUUAACUUUGUUCUUUGACUUGCCAGGUUCUUUUCAAGGUGUUGGUGACACAGAUAUGAGGAAAACAGAGUUGACUCAUGGUGAUGGAGCUUACAUUCUAUGGGGCAAGAGUGAGCAGAGG
rnacentral:lncRNA from 1 species